CAACGUGCAGGCUUCUUUCCAAAGGGCGAGUUGGGCCCCACAGCAUCUUGCUUCCAGCUCUUUGGGAAGCUAAGAAACAACUCGCUCUGCUCAGUGCUCUUACAGCCUACCGGGAACACCUCUUCCAAAGGCCUGUGAAACGCAGUUUCUUUGCAGGCCUGAUCUGGCUGAAGUAGGACCUCUGCUCUGUGUGUGCUACAUUGCCCUAGAGCUGAAAGGCACAACGUGCAGGCUUCUUUCCAAGGGGCGAGUUGGGCCCCACAGCCUCUUGCUUCCAGCUCUUUGGGAAGCUAAGAAACAAAUUGCUCUUCACAGUGCCCUUAGAGCCUACCGUGAACAUCUCUUCCAAAGGCCUAUGAAACGCAGUUUCUUUGCAGGCCUGAUCUGGCUGAAGUAGGACUUCUGCUCUGGGUGUGCUACUUUGCCCUAGAGCUGAAAGGCACACCGUGCAGGCUUCUUUCCAAAGGGCGAUUGGGCCCCACAGCAUCUUGCUUCCAGCUCUUUGGGAAGCUAAGAAACAACUCGCUCUGCUCAGUGCUCUUACAGCCUAGUGGGAACAUCUCUUCCAAAGGCCUGUGAAACGCAGUUUCUUUGCAGGCCUGAUCUGCCUGAAGUAGGACUUCUGCUCUGGGUGUGCUACAUUGCCCUAGAGCUGAAAGGAACAAUGUGCAGGCUUCUUUCCAAGGGUCGAGUUGGGCCCCACAGCAUCUUGCUUCCAGCUCUUUGGGAAGCUAAGAAACAACUCGCUCUGCACAGUGCUCUUACAGCCUACCGGGAAUAUCUCUCCAAAGGCCUGUGAAACGCAGUUUCUUUGCAGGCCGGAUCUGGCUAAAGUAGGACUUCUGCUCUGGGUGUUCUACUUUGUCCUAGAGCUGAAAGGCACACCGUGCAGGCUUCUUUCCAAAGAGCGAGUUGGGCCCCACAGCAUCUUGCUUCCAGCUCUUUGAGAAGCUAAGAAACAACUCGCUCUGCACAGUGCUCUUACAGCCUACCGGGAACAUCUCUGCCAAAGGCCUGUGAAACGCAGUUUCUUUGCAGGCCUGAUCUGGCUGAAGUAGGACUUCUGCUCUGGGUGUGCUACUUUGCCCUAGAGCUGAAAGGCACAACGUGCAGGCUUCUUUCCAAAGGGCGAGUUGGGCCACACACGAUCUUGCUUCCAGCUCUUUGAGAAGCUAAGAAACAACUCGCUCUGCACAGUGCUCUUACAGCCUACCGGGAACAUCUCUUCCAAAGGCCUGUGAAACGCAGUUUCUUUGCAGGCCUGAUCUGGCUGAAGUAGGACUUCUGCUCUGGGUGUGCUACUUUGCCCUAGAGCUGAAAGGCACACCAUGCAGGCUUCUGUCCAAAGGGCGAGUUGGGCUCCACAGCAUCUUGCUUCCAGCUCUUUGGGAAGCUAAGAAACAACUCGCUCUACACAGUGCUCUUACAGCCUAGUGGGAACAUCUCUUCCAAAGGCCUGUGAAACGCAGUUUCUUUGCAGGCCUGAUCUGGCUGAAGUAGGACUUCUGCUCUGGGUGUGCUACUUUGCCCUAGAGCUGAAAGGCACAACGUGCAGGCUUCUUUCCAAAGGGCGAGUUGGGCCCCACAGCAUCUUGCUUCCAGCUCUUUGGGAAGCUAAGAAACAACUCGCUCUGCACAGUGCUCUUACAGCCUAGUGGGAACAUCUGUCAAAAGGCCUGUGAAACGCAGUUUCUUUGCAGGCCUGAUCUGGCUGAAGUAGGACUUCUGCUCUGGGUGUGCUACAUUGCCCUAGAGCUGAAAGGCACAACGUGCAGGCUUCUUUCCAAAGGGCGAGUUGGGCCCCACAG
ensembl:lncRNA